rnacentral:rRNA from 1 species
GUUAGCGGCGGACGGGUGAGUAACACGUGGGUAACCUGCCUGUAAGACUGGGAUAACUCCGGGAAACCGGAGCUAAUACCGGAUAGUUCCUUGAACCGCAUGGUUCAAGGAUGAAAGACGGUUUCGGCUGUCACUUACAGAUGGACCCGCGGCGCAUUAGCUAGUUGGUGGGGUAAUGGCUCACCAAGGCGACGAUGCGUAGCCGACCUGAGAGGGUGAUCGGCCACACUGGGACUGAGACACGGCCCAGACUCCUACGGGAGGCAGCAGUAGGGAAUCUUCCGCAAUGGACGAAAGUCUGACGGAGCAACGCCGCGUGAGUGAUGAAGGUUUUCGGAUCGUAAAGCUCUGUUGUUAGGGAAGAACAAGUGCGAGAGUAACUGCUCGCACCUUGACGGUACCUAACCAGAAAGCCACGGCUAACUACGUGCCAGCAGCCGCGGUAAUACGUAGGUGGCAAGCGUUGUCCGGAAUUAUUGGGCGUAAAGGGCUCGCAGGCGGUUUCUUAAGUCUGAUGUGAAAGCCCCCGGCUCAACCGGGGAGGGUCAUUGGAAACUGGGAAACUUGAGUGCAGAAGAGGAGAGUGGAAUUCCACGUGUAGCGGUGAAAUGCGUAGAGAUGUGGAGGAACACCAGUGGCGAAGGCGACUCUCUGGUCUGUAACUGACG